rnacentral:rRNA from 1 species
GGGCCCGCACAAGCGGUGGAGCAUGUGGUUUAAUUCGAUGAUACGCGAGGAACCUUACCAGGGCUUAAAUGUAGUCUGACGUACUUGGAAACAGGUAUUUCUUCGGACAGAUUACAAGGUGCUGCAUGGUUGUCGUCAGCUCGUGCCGUGAGGUGUCAGGUUAAGUCCUAUAACGAGCGCAACCCCUGUGGUUAGUUGCCAGCGAGUGAAGUCGGGAACUCUAGCCAGACUGCCGGUGCAAACCGUGAGGAAGGUGGGGAUGACGUCAAAUCAUCACGGCCCUUACGUCCUGGGCCACACACGUGCUACAAUGGUAGGGACAACGAGUCGCGAACCCGCGAGGGUAAGCUAAUCUUCAAACCCCAUCUCAGUUCGGAUCGGAGUCUGCAACUCGACUCCGUGAAGUUGGAAUCGCUAGUAAUCG